GGGGGUAUAGCUCAGUGGUACAGCUUACGCCUGCAAAGCGAGCGAUCCCCGGUUCAAACCCGGAUGCUCCCU